rnacentral:lncRNA from 1 species
GAUGGUAGGUCAUAGAUGAAUUGUCAAACCUCAUUAUCUAUCAUAUGAUAGAUUUAAUCAACUCGAGUCCAUAUGUGAUUCUUAUAGAAACUCUUUUUCAUUAAUCAUACUGCUAUAGUCAUAGACUUAAAGACUCAGCUUCUUAAAUCUCAUAGGACUAUUCUCUUCUGUUAGGAUCGAUAGAUCCCAUCUAAGUAUAUACCCUACUCCUACAAUAGACCAACUGUCACCAACAUCCACUACAAUGACUCAUUGAGUCAAUAUUUAUGUGUAGUCAAACUCCAACAGCCUCACUGCAAAU